UACGUAGGGUGCGAGCGUUGUCCGGAAUUAUUGGGCGUAAAGAGCUCGUAGGCGGUCUGUCGCGUCGAUCGUGAAAACUUGGGGCUUAACCCUGAGCUUGCGGUCGAUACGGGCAUGACUGGAGUUCGGCAGGGGAGACUGGAAUUCCUGGUGUAGCGGUGAAAUGCGUAGAUAUCGGGAGGAACAUCAGUGGCGAAGGCGGCCUUCUGGUCCAGUACUGACACUCAAGUGCGAAAGCGUGGGGAGCAAACAGG
rnacentral:rRNA from 1 species